rnacentral:rRNA from 1 species
CCCUUAGACGCUCUAGGCGGCACGCGCGCUACAAUGGAUGGUAGAACGUGUAACUGCUCCCGAAAGGGAGGGUGAACCACGAAUACUUACCCGUGAAUGGGAUAGUUUGUUGCAAUUUUCGGACUUGAACUAGGAAUCCCUUGUAAGAAUGCUCAAGAAUAGCGUGCUGAAUACGUCCCUGCCGUUUGUACACACCGCCCGUCGUUUCUUCCGACUGAUACUCAUUGUGAGUUGCAAGGAUUCUUAUUGAAAAAUUGCUGCGAAUGCUUUGUAUUGGAGGAAGAAAAAGUCGUAACA